AAGACCCGUGCCCACAGUUGCCAGCAUUUUCGCAAGAAGAUGGGCACACUGUGGGGACCGCCGCUGCUAAAGCGGAGGAAGGAGCGGGCUACGGUAGGUCAGUAUGCCCCGAAUGGUCCGGGCUACACGCGGGCUACAAUGGUUGGGACAAUGGGCACCGACACCGAGAGGUGAAGGUAAUCUCUUAAACCCAGCCUUAGUUCGGAUUGAGGGUUGCAACUCGCCCUCAUGAAGCCGGAAUCCGUAGUAAUCGCGUAUCAAAAUCACGCGGUGAAUAC
rnacentral:rRNA from 1 species